ACCUAGUUGACGAAUCCCAAAUAGGACGAAACGCACAUCCUGUAU
rfam:Schistosoma rodhaini strain Burundi genome assembly, scaffold: SROB_scaffold0005223